UACGAAGGGGGCAAGCGUUGUUCGGAAUUACUGGGCGUAAAGCGCACGUAGGCGGCUUUCUAAGUCGGGGGUGAAAUCCUGGAGCUCAACUCCAGAACUGCCUUCGAUACUGGAGAGCUCGAGUCCGGGAGAGGUGAGUGGAACUGCGAGUGUAGAGGUGAAAUUCGUAGAUAUUCGCAAGAACACCAGUGGCGAAGGCGGCUCACUGGCCCGGUACUGACGCUGAGGUGCGAAAGCGUGGGGAGCAAACAGG
rnacentral:rRNA from 1 species